GAAGCUCUCAUACUCCUCCUCAGAGUAGUUAUCUGUGGAAUGAGCACACAGAAGGGAGAGUGCCUUUAGAUUCCACCCGAUGCCAUGGCAAUGAGUUGGCAACAGAACCACAGGUGUCCCGUGGGAGCAGAGGAAGCUAUCGGGAGACAGACCCACAUACACCAAGGGAACUUGAGACAGCAGAGCUGUGCCUCAUGGUUCUGCCCAGGAAACGGAAGUGGAAGACCAAGAACAGCUCCUGCCAGAGGAAGCCACCAAAGCACAGCACAGCACAGCACAGCACAGCCCACCGACGGCUUCUGAAGGCCAGGGCACAGGUAUGGUAUGUGGGGUCAACAAGAUAGGCCAUUUAAAAAAGAUACUGCCACAGGGACAGGAAGAGGCGGAGACGCUGACGACAGAGUCACUGUGCAGGUGAUACAGGACAGUCUGGCCCAGAGCCAAGCUGGUGGAGACUUGCCUGCCUGCUUAGAUGCCAAGAAUCCACAGCACAUCAAGGAAGAGUGGUCUCCCAGACCUUUACCAUAAACAGGCCAGGCCUCCUUGAACUCCAACCACACAUCUCAGGGCAAAAUGGGAGGGUCCAGCAUGGAUGGGAGGGUUCUGUGUGACAGAGGGGACCCUGAAUGGCAGAGGAAAGCCUUGCCCAGUGCUAAGGCUUAGCACACAAUUACAACAGGUCAAUGGUGUGUCCAAUACCAUAGGCAGUAUGGGGGGGGGGGAGUGUCGGAUGUGGGUUACCUCAGCAGGGCCCAGGUACUCCUGGCACAGGGUCAGGGGUAAGUAAUAAACACUUGUCCCCUUUACCCAGGCACACACAGGCCUUGUAUGAGGCUGCCUGCCACCUGCCCUGCAUAUGCCCCCCACCUGUGAAGGUCAUCCACAGAGGGGCGCCCCGAGCUGCAUCUGAGCAGCCAGGAGUCAAAACCCACAUCCUGUCCUGAGAGCUGACCUGUAACCGGGCAGUUCUCAACACAGCAGAGGCAGCCCAAAGGGAGGACCAGGGAUGCUCUGCCCAAGAAGGGUGGGAUCCAAGCUCAUCCCAUCACAGGAUCUCCAAAGAACAGGGCAAAACACUGGAGCAGGUUCUACUCCAGAGAGCCCCAUGUCCUGUCUCUUCUUGUUCCUACUCAAGCCUAUUACCCUGGGGGAGGCAUGAAAAAGGCCCUGGGUAGUGGCUCAGUGGUGAGGGUCUUCGAGAAUGGUUCAGGGACCGAGUGAGAAGUGAGCUGGCCACACCUGUGUGUGUGCAGUGAGAGUUACCUGCAUCUUGACAGCAAUCACCACGGACAAGAGUUCCUUUUCCAGUUCCCGGAGCACUGCCAGCUUCUUCAGGGUCAGGCUACACAACCUGCAAGACACAGGGCUCAGACUGUAGCAUACUUCCCAGGUCCACUGCCCAGGUACCUAGAAACCCGCAAAGACACCAGACACUCUGGGUGUCCCUAUGAGAGGCACCAACCAGAGAAGAGACAAAAGAAAGCUGCUCAUGUGACACUGAAGAGCAGGAGGCUCCCAAAGGCCAGGGCGCUGACACCAACACAGCAGUGCAGUUUUUAGCUAUGGGAAGAUGGCCUCCCAGCAGGUCUGGCUGCCCCCAUCCCAUGCUGCCACCUCCAUGAAGCAGGCAGCUUCGCCUCAACAUUCUGCUCUAAGGUCUUUGAGGUAAUGGAGACACAUUCUGCCUACUGAGAAGCAGCUCCUGACGGGCCACCAGGGUCACCAGUGGGCUCUGUGCACAGCUCUGUGUGUCACAACAUCCCUCUGGGACGGCUGGUACACAUCGAAAACGUAAGCGUCUCUUUCUGGAAUUUAUUUAUGUAAUACUUUCAUACCAGAGCAAAACUUGGAGAAGGGGGCUGGAGAGACAGCUCAGCGGUUAAGGGAACUGACUGCUCUUCCAGAGGUCCUGAGUUCAAUUCCCAGCAACCACAUGGUGGCUCACAACCAUCUGUGAUGGGAUCUGAUGCCCUCUUCUGGUGUGUCGGAAGACAGUGACAGUGUGCUCAGAUACAAUACAUAAAUAUUAAGUAAAUAAAUAAAUAAACUUGGAGAAGUACGGGAAUGAAGCCACAGUUGAGGUGCGGCUACCGAGACACCACGACUAGAAAACACAGUUAGCUGGCAAAUGCACCUACGGAAACAGACUUUCUCAAAGGAAACUCGAAAGCCUUAGGAAUGGAACAAUACAAAGACAGUAUGUCAGGAUUGGUGUGGGCAUUAGUGUUUCAGUGGAAAGAUUCCCACUGAACGGGCUAAGCUGCAUAAAACAAUAAGAAACCAGAAGAGGGAGAGUGUAAACUGAACGCCAACAAAGCAUCAGGAGACAACAGAGAUCCACUCAGAAAUAACUUGAAAUAGAGACAAUAAAAACCAGAUGUUACUCUUUUGCAAAGACAGAAAAUUCAUAAAACCUCCAGCCAAACAAAGAUUAAAAAAGAGAGAGAGAAAAUUCUCUUUAUCAGAAUAAAAGAGCACUAAAGACCUUGGAUACCGCCCCACAAACAGAUAAAAUGUAACAACUCUUACUGCCCUCAGCCUCCCAAGCCUAACGAGCUGAAACUGAUAACAGAGCAGGGCUGUAUAUUAAGUCAAGUUAAUGAGGCACAAAUGAUCUGAAGAAGAAAAUCCAGCAAACUCAGAGGCAUGGAGUACAGCUUGCUGAGCACGCACGCCUGACACCCAGGACUCCAUCCCCAGCUCAGGGCAGAGGGAAAAACCCACAUCCACAUAACCUUCCAGAAAGCAGAAGAGAAAGGGCUGCCUCAGCUCAUGGGAUUAGCAUCGCCUCUUUCUAUCAACACUGACAGAAACAGCACCAAAAAGAAAUCCACAAAAACUGGGUGUGGUGACUGGCAUUCGCCCACAGUACCAGCACUCAGGGGGCCGAGAUAAGAUGACCUGGGCCAGCCUGGGCUAUUCAGCCAGACCUUGUUAAAAGAAGAUAGAAGAUGAGGUGCAGGACAGAGGUGAGAAGAGAAGGGGACGCACACUAGAGACCAGGGUCUGUCAUGAGCACAGAGGCAAAGCUCUCCCACUGGUUUUGCAAGCUAAAUCUAGCAAGACACAAAGACACUCAUUAAUACACACAGCCAGUGGGGAUGCUCAGGAAUGAAAUGCUGGUUCAGCAUCUGGAAAUCAUUUAAUUUACCAUAUCAAUAAGCUAAAUGAGAAAAGAACAUUUGUACCCUCAAUUUGGUUCCGUUUCCUCAGGGGACCAUGUAUUUCAGGCUUAGUGCCUAUUGAGUAGUAGAGGCUUUAGGAGGAGGCCCCAGUGGAGGACUGUGGCCCGCAGACCCUCCCUAGGUUUGUUUUGGUUGUGCUGCCGACUGUCAGGUGUGCGGCUGUCAUUACACCCAUGUUGCCAUCAUGAUGUCGCACUGCGCCACAGACUGAAAGCAAUCCCUGUAACGCUGAGCCCUCGGGCUGAUUCUUUGACUGUUAGCUAGCCUACAACUGACACAGGAAGCUGGCAGCAAGUGCGGUUGCUAUGGCGACAACUGAGCAUGUGUGCAGCCUCUUGGACUGCGCAGGAGGAAGGUGGUAGUCUGCAGGAGCUCACCAGGCAGUUCUGACAUUCAUGCUAGACCUCUCAGCAAGACAGGAAGAGAAGGAAUCCCUCGGUCUGCACCUGUCAUGGGAGUAGCGGAAACUCGUGGAGACUUGUUUCCCUAAAGACAGGAUGGGGGCUGGCUUGACUGCUCUCACCCCUGUGCCUCACGUGGCCCUGCCUUGCCCAGGUGGACAGGCAAAGCAAGGUAACCAAAGACAUGGGGUCAGGGAAGGGAGAAGCAAACCAACAUUGUCUACAGAUACCAGGAUUGUGCAUAGAGAAAUCUGAGGAAUGCAGAAGAGUCAAGACAAGCUCCCACAGACCAGGUUGCCUAUAAAGAGCAACUGUGAACCACAUCCGCUCAAAUGACCUCCAAACAGAGAAACUGUAUCUAAAGUAAAUGCAGGCUAGAACUCCAGUGCUCAGCUGGCCAGGAAAGUGCUCACUGCACAAGCCCAGCACCCUGCGUUUGACCUGGGACACACACAAAAGAGGCAGGAGGAACCGGCUUCAUGAAACUGUCCUCUGACCCCCACUCACGCAUCUGCCCCCAUCACCUAUGCAAACACACACAACAAUAAGCACGUGAGUUUAAAGGGAGCUCUAAUGCUGAUGGAGGAGCUCACAACAGAAGGAAGCGGAGAGCCAGGCUGCGGACUGCGUGCCAAUUCUCCCCAAACUAGCCUAUCAGUUUAGUACUACCCCAGUAGAAUCACAAGAACGGUGUGUGGCUCUGUCAACGUGCUGACUUUACCCCUCCCACGAGAAGAAAGGAAAACAGAGCCUACAGGAAAACAGGCUUCCUCACCCUGACCCCAAGAGCUGCUCAUGUGCGGCCCAUAGCAAGGGAAGCAGGGAUGAAUGACCAGAGAAAGUAAAAUCGGACUCCACCAAAAUGGAAGGCUCUGGCUGGAA